rnacentral:rRNA from 1 species
AUUGAACGCUAGCGGGAUGCUUUACACAUGCAAGUCGAACGAGUGGCGGACGGGUGAGAAAUAUAUCGGAACGUGCCCAAUAGCGGGGGAUAACUACUCGAAAGAGUGGCUAAUACCGCAUACUCUUGGCGCGGCCGAUGACGGAUUAGCUAGUUGGUGGGGGAAAGGCUCACCAAGGCAACGAGCCGUAGCGGGUUUGAGAGGACGACCAGCCACACUGGGACUGAGACACGGCCCAGACUCCUACGGGAGGCAGCAGUUGGGAAUAUUGGACAAUGGGGGAAACCCUGAUCCAGCCAUCCCGCGUGUAUGAGAAGGCCUUCGGGUUGUAAAGUACUUUUGGCAGAGAAGCGGUAUCUGAAGAAUAAGCACCGGCUAACUACGUGCCAGCAGCCGCGGUAAUAC